rnacentral:rRNA from 1 species
AUUCCAGCUCCAAUGGCGUAUAUUAAAGUUGUUGCAGUUAAAAAGCUCGUAGUUGGAUUUCUGGCAGGAGCGACCGGUCGGCCCAUUGUGGUGUGUACUAGUGUUGCAUCUGGCCAUAUUUGUGGAGAGCGUGUGUGGCAUUAAUUUGUCGUGCUCGGGACCCGCAUCGUUUACUGUGAGAAAAUUAGAGUGUUCAAAGCAGGCUUAUGCCUUGGAUAUGUUAGCAUGGAAUAGUAAGAUAAGACUUUGGCGGUCUAUUUUGUUGGUUUGCACGCCAUUGUAAUGAUUGAUAGGGACAGUUGGGGGUAUUCAUAUUUAAUUGUCAGAGGUGAAAUUCUUGGAUUUAUGAAAGAUGAACUACUGCGAAAGCAUUUACCAAGGAUGUUUUCAUCA